rnacentral:rRNA from 1 species
GACAGAGGCCUCGAGCGUUAGGCGGAAUCCCUGGGCUUAAAGCGUGUGUAGGCGGAUCGUUAAGUACCUUGUGAAAUCCCACGGCUCAACCGUGGAACUGCUGGGUAUACUGGCGAUCUUGAGCCACCUAGGGGCGAGCGGAACAAACGGUGGAGCGGUGAAAUGCGUAGAUAUCAAGAGGAACACCAGUGGCGAAGGCGAGUCCCUGGACAACACCUGACACUGAGGCACGAAAGCCGGGGGAGCAAACAGG